GACAGAGGAUGCAAGCGUUAUCCGGAAUGAUUGGGCGUAAAGCGUCUGUAGGUGGCUUUUUAAGUCCGCCGUCAAAUCCCAGGGCUCAACCCUGGACAGGCGGUGGAAACUACCAAGCUGGAGUACGGUAGGGGCAGAGGGAAUUUCCGGUGUAGCGGUGAAAUGCGUGAGAUAGUCGAAGGAACAUCAGUGGCGAAAGCGGCUUCCUGGACCAGAACUGACGAUCAGGCUCGAAAGCGUGGGGAGCAAACAGG
rnacentral:rRNA from 1 species